AUUGAACGCUGGCGGCAGGCUUAACACAUGCAAGUCGAGCGAGCGGCGGACGGGUGAGUAAUGGCUGGGAAACUGCCUGAUGGAGGGGGAUAACUACUGGACACGGUAGCUAAUACCGCAUACCCUCAGAUGUGCCCAGAUGGGAUUAGCUAGUAGGUGGGGUAAUGGCUCACCGAGUCGACGAUCCCUAGCGGGUCUGAGAGGAUGACCAGCCACACUGGACAUGAGACACGGUCCAGACUCCUACGGUAGGCAGCAGUGGGGAAUAGUGCGCAAUGGGCGCAAGCCUGAGGCAGCCAGGCCGCGUGUGUGAAGAAGGCCUUCGGGUUGUAAAGUACUUUCAGCGAGGAGGCGUUACUCGCAGAAGAAGCACCGGCUAACUCCGUGCCAGCAGCCGCGGUAAUUC
rnacentral:rRNA from 1 species